GAACUUGCAUCUUAUUCCUUCUACACUCGAUUAUUACAUUUUUUAUUUACUUAAACCACUAAAAUGUCAAAUCUUCAACAUAGUGGCAACUUGAGGUAAUUUAUGUAAAUAUUAAACUUUAUCUUCCAUUCAAAAUAAGAAAAUAAAUAUAUAUAUUUUUAUAACUUCCAAGAAAUGCUCCUGCAAAGAGUGUUCUUGAUGUGGUGAUAUAGAUAUUGGCAAAUAGUGGUGUAUCAAGUCGACAAGUGAUCCAGUAAUAGCUAAAAAUUUCUCAUUAUAGAUUGAUAUUAAUGGUAUUUAAGAUAUCAUUAAAGAAUUUUCCAGGUCUGAAUGCUAUAAAAAUUUGUAAAAGUAAAUAUUUCCUUUUAAUAAAACUCUUAAAUAACUUA